rnacentral:rRNA from 1 species
UGGGGAAUCUUGCACAAUGGGGGAAACCCUGAUGCAGCGACGCCGCGUGAGCGAUGAAGCCCUUCGGGGUGUAAAGCUCUUUCGGCAGGGAAGAUAAUGACGGUACCUGCAGAAGCAGCUGCGGCUAACUACGUGCCAGCAGCCGCGGUAAUACGUAGGCAGCAAGCGUUGUUCGGAGUUACUUGGCGUAAAGGGUGUGUAGGCGGUUCUUUAAGUUUGGUGUGAAAUCUCCCGGCUCAACUGGGAGGGUGCGCCGAAUACUGAGGGACUAGAGUACGGGAGAGGAAAGUGGAAUUCCUGGUGUAGCGGUGAAAUGCGUAGAUAUCAGGAGGAACACCGGUGGUGUAAACGGCUUUCCGGACCGUAACUGACGCUGAGACACGAAAGCGUGGGUAGCAAACA